rnacentral:snoRNA from 1 species
UGCAGCUGUGUCAGAUUCUGUUCCUGCCUCACCCCCAGGGCUCCUGGUGCUGAUCCAAACAGCCGCCACAGGAGCGCUGGGCCUCAGGGAUAAAUUUGGUCACAGACACCC